rnacentral:lncRNA from 1 species
UUGUCAUCAGCUACCAAAAAGAAUGGCAAACUUUUUUAUAUUUUGGUUUUUGGAAUAUAAAUGAUGCAUGACAACACUAAACAUUUUUCCUACCUGGGUUUGUUGAAAAACCAUAAAUUUAAAAGAAAAAUCAUAUAAAUGUGUAUAUAAUUAGAGGAACAGCCAAUGAAAAGGACUAACCCUAAUGUAGGCCAAGACAGAAACGUUAGCUGUACUUUAACAAGGAGAGGAAAAUAAUUGGAGGCCUAAGAUUUUCAAAGAAUGGGAAAAGCACAAAAGAAGUCGAUAGAAAAUAGUUGAAAGGGGAAAAUGGGGAGACCAUAGUUUAAUCCUUCUUUCUCAUUCAAAG